rnacentral:rRNA from 1 species
AUUGAACGCUGGCGGCAGGCUUAACACAUGCAAGUCGAGCGAACGGCGGACGGGUGAGUAAUGUCUGGGAAACUGCCUGAUGGAGGGGGAUAACUACUGGAAACGGUAGCUAAUACCGCAUACCAUCAGAUGGGCCCAGAUGGGAUUAGCUAGUAGGUGGGGUAAUGGCUCACCUAGGCGACGAUCCCUAGCUGGUCUGAGAGGAUGACCAGCCACACUGGAACUGAGACACGGUCCAGACUCCGACGGGAGGCAGCAGUGGGGAAUAUUGCACAAUGGGCGCAAGCCUGAUGGAGCCACGCCGCGUGUAUGAAGAAGGCCUUAGGGUUGUAAAGUACUUUCAGCGGGGAGGCGUUACCCGCAGAAGAAGCACCGGCUAACUCAGUGCCAGCAGCCGCGGUAAUUC